rnacentral:rRNA from 1 species
UCGGGAGGCAGCAGUGGGGAAUAUUGGGCAAUGGGCGAAAGCCUUACCCAGCAACGCCGCGUGAGAGAAGAAGGUUUUCGGAUUGUAAAUCUCUGUCCUGGGGGACGAAGGAAGUGACGGUACCCCGGGAGGAAGCCCCGGCUAACUACGUGCCAGCAGCCGCGGUAAU